rnacentral:rRNA from 1 species
UACGUAGGGGCCAAGCGUUGUCCGGAUUUAUUGGGCGUAAAGAGCUCGUAGGCGGUUCGGCAAGUCGAAUGUGAAAUCUCCACGCUCAACGUGGAGGGGUCAUUCGAUACUGCCGUGACUUGAGUACGGUAGGGGAGUGUGGAAUUCCCGGUGUAGCGGUGAAAUGCGUAGAGAUCGGGAGGAACAUCAGUGGCGAAGGCGGCCCUCUGGACCAGCACUGACGCUGAGGCACGAAAGCGUGGGGAGCAAACAGG